GCCGAAUCAGACAGUGAUGCCAUCGGGAGGUGAUCUAGAGAGAUUGGUCCUCCUCUUCUUGCGACUGAGUGGGGAAUUCGGUUGAAGAGGUUGAGACCAGUGAGUGGUGCUUGGGCUGUAGGGCAGAGACUUCAGGUGUUGAUGCUUGAUCAGUAGUCUUCCUGCUUGAUUCCACUGUGAUCCGAUUGAUUUCCAGUGAGGUUGAGUGUCCUGUGGAUCUGGAAUUGUGGUUCCGGCAACACCUCAACCAGUAGCUCCUUUGGUUUCAACAAUCAACAGCGGUUGCUAAUUGAGGAUCUUGUCUGGUCCAGCAGAUCACUUUGUUUUCCAACAGCUCAAUUGAGUGAGGUUCUGUUGCUGUGAUGCUGGAAUUGUGAUCUUUGAGGUGUAUCCAGCAGCUUUCCCUAACCGGCAGCAACACCUUUGAUUGUGAUCUAUUGGUGAUCACUUUGGGUUUGAGG